rnacentral:rRNA from 1 species
UACGAACUGUGCGAACGUUAUUCGGAAUCACUGGGCUUAAAGGGUGCGUAGGCGGCUGCCUAAGUCAGGUGUGAAAUCUCCCGGCUCAACCGGGAAACUGCGCUUGAUACUGGGCGGCUCGAGUGAGGUAGGGGUGUGUGGAACUUCCGGUGGAGCGGUGAAAUGUGUAGAUAUCGGAAGGAACGCCAGCAGCGAAAGCGGCACACUGGGCCUUUUCUGACGCUGAGGCACGAAAGCCAGGGGGAGCGAACGGG